rnacentral:rRNA from 1 species
UACACUCCUGCGGGAGGCAGCAGUGGGGAAUAUUGGACAAUGGGCGCAAGCCUGAUCCAGCCAUGCCGCGUGAGUGAUGAAGGCCCUAGGGUUGUAAAGCUCUUUCACCGGUGAAGAUAAUGACGGUAACCGGAGAAGAAGCCCCGGCUAACUUCGUGCCAGCAGCCGCGGUAAUACGAAGGGGGCUAGCGUUGUUCGGAUUUACUGGGCGUAAAGCGCACGUAGGCGGACUAUUAAGUCAGGGGUGAAAUCCCGGGGCUCAACCCCGGAACUGCCUUUGAUACUGGUAGUCUUGAGUUCGAGAGAGGUGAGUGGAAUUCCGAGUGUAGAGGUGAAAUUCGUAGAUAUUCGGAGGAACACCAGUGGCGAAGGCGGCUCACUGGCUCGAUACUGACGCUGAGGUGCGAAAGCGUGGGGAGCAAACAGGAUUAGAUACCCUAGUAGUCCCAU